rnacentral:rRNA from 1 species
GACGAACGCUGGCGGCGUGCUUAACACAUGCAAGUCGAACGCUGAAGCUCAGCUUUUGUUGGGUGGAUGAGUGGCGAACGGGUGAGUAACACGUGAGUAACCUGCCUCCUUCUUUGGGAUAACGCCCGGAAACGGGUGCUAAUACUGGAUAUUCACUGGUCUUCGCAUGGGGGUUGGUGGAAAGGGUUUUUCUGGUGGGGGAUGGGCUCGCGGCCUAUCAGCUUGUUGGUGGGGUGAUGGCCUACCAAGGCUUUGACGGGUAGCCGGCCUGAGAGGGUGACCGGUCACAUUGGGACUGAGAUACGGCCCAGACUCCUACGGGAGGCAGCAGUGGGGAAUAUUGCACAAUGGGCGCAAGCCUGAUGCAGCGACGCCGUGUGAGGGAUGGAGGCCUUCGGGUUGUGAACCUCUUUCGCUCAUGGUCAAGCCGCAACAAUGGUUGUGGUGAGGGUAGUGGGUAAAGAAGCGCCGGCUAACUACGUG